CUGCGGAUGACCCAGUGUUACACCAUUCAUGGUUUGGAGUUAUCCAGAGUGACGGUCAACUCGAGUCUGGAAGUUGUAUACGACACCUUUGUUAAACCUGAAAAUGAAGUCAUUGACUAUAACACCAGGUAAUGUGAUAAUAUACUCCUCAUCUUUCUCUGUGCACUACAUAAACUAUACCAACACGCUCUGUCAUUACAGAAGUGUGGCAGCAGUCUGAAAAUUGUUCUGUAUAAUGAAAAUUUAGUCAACAUCAAGUGCAAGGUUUAGCCAGUAGUUUAAAGAUGGUUAGGUUUUGCUUAAUAAUGCAUAUGAUGCAGCUCUGCUUAGAGCCCGUGUGACACCUUACUUGGCCAGAUUUUCAGGUGUUAGUGAGGAGGAUGUGAAGGGUCACCAUGGUUCUCUAAGAGUAAAUGUUGAAUCCAGGAGACCUUGUUGAGCUUCAUAAAUGCUGACACGAUUCUGAUUGGACACUGCCUGGAAACAGACCUCUGUUUACUCAAGCUGCUCCACGGGAUGGUGGUGGAUACAUCGGUAGUCUUUCCCCACCGUCUGGGCCCCCCUCACAAACUGACCCUGAACAAGCUCACAGCUGAAUACCUCAGAAGGAUCAUUCAAGAGAGUGUUUGUGGUCAUGACACUGCAGAAGAUGCUACUGCCUGUAUGGAGCUGAUGCUGUGGAAAGUGAAAGAAGAUGGAAAAUUGAAAAAAUGAUGAAAAUAAAAUUAUUCCUGUACAAUUCAUAUGGGGGGAGGGGGAACAAAUACUAGCUGUGAUUCAAAUGUAUUUGUGUAAACCUCUUUCAGGACAUGGAGGGCAGUUUGGUUUGUUAAUGUGAUUUAUGUUAAUGAGUUCUGUAUGUAAAAGUUCAAUUUGGAGCCCAUCUUCCAUAUUUGUAUAAAUGUUGACCACAUGUAGUGCCAAGAGGACCUAAAGUGGUGACUUUUCAUGAGUAUUACUCAAGUAAAGGCAUAGAAUGAAUUUUGUGAGUUUUCUUCUCGGGGAGGGGGGGGGGGGAGCAAAAUUCAACAACCAAUCAGCAUUCGGUUUUUAAAGUGAGAUUAAUUUCAGGUACACUUCUGCAAACUGGUACACCUGUCUUCAGUUAAAGUAAUUAGUGGUGAUACAUAAAGAAUAAAAUGAUGGGAAACUCAACAUACAUGAAAGAAAGUCUCAUGUAGGUAACAAAUAUUGCCCCGGCCCAACAUUCACAGCACCUGUUUCAGAUGUUAUUCA